rnacentral:rRNA from 1 species
AAGACCUUGCGCUUUUGGAGCGGCCGAUGCCUGAUUAGCUUGUUGGUAAGGUAAAAGCUUACCAAGGCUUCGAUCAGUAGCUGGUCUGAGAGGACGACCAGCCACACUGGGACUGAGACACGGCCCAGACUCCUACGGGAGGCAGCAGUGGGAAUUUUGGACAAUGGGGGCAACCCUGAUCCAGCCAUGCCGCGUGAGUGAAGAAGGCCUUCGGGUUGUAAAGCUCUUUCAGCCGGAACGAAACGGUUACGGUUAACACCCGUGACUACUGACGGUACCGGAAGAAGAAGCACCGGCUAACUACGUGCCAGCAGCCGCGGUAAUACGUAGGGUGCGAGCGUUAAUCGGAAUUACUGGGCGUAAAGCGUGCGCAGGUGGUUUUGUAAGUCAGAUGUGAAAGCCCCGGGCUCAACCUGGGAACU